rnacentral:SRP_RNA from 1 species
GCCAGCCAUGGUGGCAUGCCUGUAGUCCCGCUACUCAGGAGGCUAAGGCAGGACGAUCACUUGAGCCAAGGAGCUCUGGGCUGUGCUAUGCCAACUGGGUGUCCGCACUAAGUUUGGCAUCAAUAUGGUGACCCCCAGAAGCUGGGACCACUAGGUUGCCUAAGAAGUGGUGAAAGGGCCCCGGUUGGAAACAAAGCACGUCAAAAGUCCCACGCUGAUCAUAGGAGAGGUAAGUGACUAGUGAGGUAAAGCUCGCACAGCAAGGUGAGGGUU